rnacentral:rRNA from 1 species
AUUGAACGCUGGCGGCAGGCUUAACACAUGCAAGUCGAGCGGGGGAAGGUAGCUUGCUACCGGACCUAGCGGCGGACGGGUGAGUAAUGCUUAGGAAUCUGCCUAUUAGUGGGGGACAACAUCUCGAAAGGGAUGCUAAUACCGCAUACGUCCUACGGGAGAAAGCAGGGGAUCCUCGGACCUUGCGCUAAUAGAUGAGCCUAAGUCGGAUUAGCUAGUUGGUGGGGUAAAGGCCUACCAAGGCGACGAUCUGUAGCGGGUCUGAGAGGAUGAUCCGCCACACUGGGACUGAGACACGGCCCAGACUCCUACGGGAGGCAGCAGUGGGGAAUAUUGGACAAUGGGGGGAACCCUGAUCCAGCCAUGCCGCGUGUGUGAAGAAGGCCUUAUGGUUGUAAAGCACUUUAAGCGAGGAGGAGGCUACUUUAGUUAAUACCUAGAGAUAGUGGACGUUACUCGCAGAAUAAGCACCGGCUAACUCUGUGCCAGCCGCCGCUGUAA